rnacentral:rRNA from 1 species
AUUGAACGCUGGCGGCAGGCCUAACACAUGCAAGUCGAACGGUAACAGGAAACAGCUUGCUGUUUCGCUGACGAGUGGCGGACGGGUGAGUAAUGUCUGGGAAACUGCCUGAUGGAGGGGGAUAACUACUGGAAACGGUAGCUAAUACCGCAUAACGUCGCAAGACCAAAGAGGGGGACCUUCGGGCCUCUUGCCAUCGGAUGUGCCCAGAUGGGAUUAGCUAGUAGGUGGGGUAACGGCUCACCUAGGCGACGAUCCCUAGCUGGUCUGAGAGGAUGACCAGCCACACUAGAACUGAGACACGGUCCAGACUCCUACGGGAGGCAGCAGUGGGGAAUAUUGCACAAUGGGCGCAAGCCUGAUGCAGCCAUGCCGCGUGUAUGAAGAAGGCCUUCGGGUUGUAAAGUACUUUCAGCGGGGAGGAAGGGAGUAAAGUUAAUACCUUUGCUCAUUGACGUUACCCGCAGAAGAAGCACCGGCUAACUCCGUG